rnacentral:rRNA from 1 species
GGUAAACGCUGGCGGCGUGCCUAAAACAUGCAAGUCGAACGGUGUCCUUCGGGCGACAGUGGCAGACGGCUGAGUAACGCGUGGGUGACGUACCCAUCUGUGGGGAAUAACUGCCCGAAAGGGUGGCUAAUACCGCAUACGCCCGUCGAUUCGGUUCGACGGGGAAAGCGUCGCGAGAGGCGCAGAUGGAGCGGCCCGCGUCCGAUUAGCUGGUUGGUGGGGUAACGGCCUACC